rnacentral:lncRNA from 1 species
GUUGUCGCAGUGUUUUUUUUUAACCUUUUUAUCAAUUUUAGGGGCUCACGCAUCUUACUUUUUCACAUCUGUUAGUUUAUAGAUUUCUAGACCUAACUAAUGUACUAUUGUCAUAAAUUGACAUUUCUACCUACGCAGUACAUUUGUCUUAGAUUCUAUAUUUUAGUUCAGUAAAUCUUGUAAAAUUAGCUUACCUAUGUCUAGAAGAAUAAUUAGUCCAACGAAGAGAAUCAACUUCAUCUUGAUUCUUUUUUUUUCGGGUAAAUACUUCCACCUGUACACAAAAGUUAACCCGUCCUUUCUUCAAAUAUACAGGUACGAUAUAUCUAUCUUUAAACCCUCAGGCGAUAUAGGUGUGCAAGUCAAUAAGAGGCAUGACGAAUUGAACACAAUAUGAGCAAUUUAAAUUUAGACAUUUGUCAUAUAUACCCUACUUAUAAGAACAUCACAUCUAAACUGUUAAAAGUGGUUAGUCCUAUCUUUGGCAUAUACCAUUCACAAACUGAUACCUCAAAUUAGUUAUAUUGAUCGCCCUUAAUUUACAAAUUUGAAUAAGACUGAUG